rnacentral:rRNA from 1 species
GAUGAACGCUGGCGGCGUGCCUAAUACAUGCAAGUCGAGCGAAUGGAUUAAGAGCUUGCUCUUAUGAAGUUAGCGGCGGACGGGUGAGUAACACGUGGGUAACCUGCCCAUAAGACUGGGAUAACUCCGGGAAACCGGGGCUAAUACCGGAUAACAUUUUGAACCGCAUGGUUCGAAAUUGAAAGGCGGCUUCGGCUGUCACUUAUGGAUGGACCCGCGUCGCAUUAGCUAGUUGGUGAGGUAACGGCUCCCCAAGGCAACCAUGCGUAGUCGACCUGAGAGGGUGAUCGGCCACACUGGGACUGAGACACGGCCCAGACGCCUACGGGAGGCAGCAGUAGGGAAUCUUCCGCAAUGGACGAAAGUCUGAAGGAGCAACGCCGCGUGAGUGAUGAAGGCUUUCGGGUCGUAAAACUCUGUUGUUAGGGAAGAACAAGUGCUAGUUGAAUAAGCUGGCACCUUGACGGUACCUAACCAGAAAGCCACGGCUAACUACGUGCCAGCCGCCGCCGUAA